AUUGAACGCUGGCGGCAUGCCUUACACAUGCAAGUCGAACGGCAGCAUGGAAGAGCUUGCUCUUCUGAUGGCGAGUGGCGAACGGGUGAGUAAAGCAUCGGAACGUACCGUGUAGUGGGGGAUAACGUAGCGAAAGUUACGCUAAUACCGCAUACGAUCUACGGAUGAAAGCAGGGGACCGCAAGGCCUUGCGCGAACGGAGCGGCCGAUGGCAGAUUAGGUAGUUGGUGGGAUAAAAGCUUACCAAGCCGACGAUCUGUAGCUGGUCUGAGAGGACGACCAGCCACACUGGAACUGAGACACGGUCCAGACUCCUACGGGAGGCAGCAGUGGGGAAUUUUGGACAAUGGGGGCAACCCUGAUCCAGCAAUGCCGCGUGAGUGAAGAAGGCCUUCGGGUUGUAAAGCUCUUUUGUCAGGGAAGAAACGGUGGGGGCUAAUAUCCUCUGCUAAUGACGGUACCUGAAGAAUAAGCACCGGCUAACUACGUG
rnacentral:rRNA from 1 species